ACGCUCAUACGCAAAUUCGGAAUAAGAUCUUCUCUACUCUCUUUUUCGAUUUCUUAUUUUUAUCGUUGUUAUUCUCGUGUUCUGAUUGCUUGACGUGUGGUAUUAGCAGAUAUUCGGGUCCUCUGGGAAAUUAGGGUUUUCCUAGUUUCUUUAUUUAAACGGAAAUCGACAGUGCGAAUUUCGGUUCCCACAGUAGUAUUUGUGAACAUCACUUUCCAAGCUUUGAUUGUAUUCUUGCAAGAGUUUGUUAUGGACUUUUAUAAUUGAUUGAUCAUGACCAAGUAUGAAUAAACCCAAAUUUAUAAUUCAUUUUUAUUGCAUAUAUUGCAUAACAUGUCCAGUCCUUAUAUUCUGAAAUGAUAUUUUUUUGUUUACAACAAGAUUGUUUAGCUUUCAUAUAUUAUUUAUACUUAAAAUAAAAAAAACUAUUAUUUUUAUAUAUCUUAUUAUUUUAUACAUAUUUUGUUUCAAUAUAAAUGAUGUUUUAGGUGAUUAAUGUUGUUUUACAAUAGAUAAUAUUUCUCAUAUCUAGUUAAUUUAAACUUUAUCAAAAACUGUAUAGUCAAUUGUAUUUUUUAUUAUUUUAUAAUCAAAUAAAAUAGUUUAAAAUUAUAUUUUCAAUAUUUUUUUUAAAUAAAUUUCUUAAUAUGUGUAUAAAGAGCCAAAACUCCAUCUAUUAUGAAAAAGAGGGAUUAUCAUGUAAUUCAAAUUAUUUGUAUAAACAAUUAAAAGAAAAUUCUAUAGAUCUAUGUUAACUAAAUUUUGAUAUUUCUUUUUUUAUUUUAUCCAAGUUACUGCAUCUAAAUAUUUUGUCUAUUAUAAUAAAUUAACUUUCAAAAUUAUAUCUAUUUAGCACUUUCAACUUAAAAGAAGCAUAUAUAUACUAAGUGAUCUGGGUUCGAAUCAUUCUCAUGACACUAAACAUAUGUAGUCACGCGGAUAUAGAAACAUGUUUUAGACCUCAUUCCAUCCGUAGAUUUUACCUCUUUUUUGAAAAUUUAGUUUGGAUCAUUUUCAUAAAUCUCGAAAGCCCCCAGAUUAAUAAAAGGUAUUAUUGUUGCUUUGUUAAUAAUCAAAUAAAAUUGAAGAGUAUUAAACUAUAUAUUUAAAUUAUUCCAUUUGAAAGUUAAAACUGGUAUUAUUGAUUAAAGAAAUUCUAAGCUAUUUAUUACUUUGAAAUAUCAUGGAAGAUAAGAAUAACCGGAGAUGGGCACGACAAAAAGGAAUCGAUUUCUGGCUCCACUGUAGUAAAACUAUUUUCAACACAUCUUUAUAAUAUAAUAGAUCUCAAUUAUAUUAAAAAAUAGAGAUGUUAUUAUUAUUACCAGAAGAACACAUGGGAGCAAAAUUUUAUCUCUAUUUUUAUUGAAUAACAGAAAUUUCUAAAAUAGAAACAAAGAUGCCCAAACAUGUAGAAUACAAAAUAGUCAUGGUAUUUUAUCCAUACGUUCAUUUCUACAGAAAACAAUUAUCCUUAUUCUAAGUAAGCUCAUCCUCAAAAUAAAAAGUUCAAGGAUGAAUUUUCCUAACAAAAUACCUCAAACAUAUCAAAAAGGCAACAAUGACCUUAAAUUGAAUUAUAAAUUGAAAACUAAAAAUUAAAAAAAACAAUUGUAAAUAUUAAAAUAUAAUAAAUAAUUAAAGUAAUUAAAAUAAAAGAAAACACUAAAAAUCAUUAAAAUAAAAAAACCUAAACCUACACUUUAUGUCCCACUAUUUUUUUUAUUUUAUUUUUUUCUGAAAAAUCGAUUUUUCAUAUAUGGAAACUGAAUAAGUCCAAAAAAUUUAUUUCCAUAGUUUUCAGAACUGAUUAUUCUUAUCCGCAGAAUACAGUAAAUUUGUAGGACUCGGUUUCUAUGUGUUUUUAGAUUUAUAGUAAUGUGUAGAUUUUGAUUUCUACAUGUUUUAGAUUUACAGUAAAUUUGUAGAACUCGUUUUCUACAAGUUUUAGAUUUAUAUUAAUCUGUAGAUUCCGAUUUCUACAGAAUUUAGCGCGAUAGGUUAAGCGUGGAAUAUGUAUUCUAAAUAUUUUUAUAGUAUUAUUGUGUAGGUAGAUCAUGUAUUCUAAACAUAGUAGAUUCAAUCAAAAAGUAGAUUUUAUUUUCUACUUUGUAGAAUGUCAGUUCUACUUUAUGUAGAACAUAAUUUGAAAUUAUGAUUUAAAUAUUUUUAGAAAAGAAAAAAAAAUACCACUAAUUUCAUAUGGGUAUUUCAUCAGUAGUUACUAUUUUCCAAUUUUUUUAGUUUAUAAAACUAUUUAUUUGAUUUAUUUUCAAAAUUUUUAAAGGGCAUUAGAAGCAAAAAAAAAAUAGGAAUUAGCCUAAUGUGACAUAGUUACUAUUUUUUGGCAAAAAAAAAACAUUUUUCCCUAUUUUUUACUUUUAGUUCAUUUAGAUCAUUUUAGGAUGCAUUUAGAAGUCUUUAAUGUAUAUAUGUGUGUUCAUUUGCAUUUUAUAGAGCACAUUAGCAAACUUAAGAGGACAUUUCUGAAGAUUUAAGAGUUUGGGGUCAAAUUGAUAACAUGGCAAAACUUGGAAAACAUGUUGUGUAAAAAAAGGAGAAGUUGGUCGAAGGGGAUCGAUCGAUCCUGAUAUCGAUCUCGAGCGGGGUGACCACGGCAGCUUUGAUCACGUCGCUGUUCGUCAUCAAGGAGAAAAUUUGACGUGAUGAGACGGAUAUCACGGUGGAGGGAGGAACAUAAUAGGUGGUAGACCGUAGCUGGAGCUGAUCCGCAUUUCAGCGACAUGGAAGAUGGAAGUUCGAACGCAGACCACUGACACGGUGAUCUACGUUCAGGGAGCACUGCGGAGAGAGACUUGUUGCAAUGUGGAAGAAAAAGAUGAAAUGCAGUUGCAGUCCCAAACAAUUUAAGAAAGACUGUGAGUAGUAUUUGGCGAUCAACGAUCAGCGUUUGGCAUUUGAAACAGUUUUUGACAUGGUUUAAUUUGGGAUGAUCCGAGUUUAUUGGGUUGAUCCGGUUUUAUUUUAGCCUACUAUUGAUAUGUUUUUAAGCCAAACACCUUAUCUAUUUACUUUUGUAAAAGUUUAAAUCUUUUUAUUUUAUAAGAAAGUAUUUCAUAUAAUCUUGUAUGUAUAUUGUGAUUAGCUUGUUAUGUACAAUGUUUAUCUCUAAACUUUUCAUGUGCUUAAGUAUUUCAUGGUGAUUAGUGGAUAGUCAUUUUGUGGAUCUAUGAGUUAAGUUAGGAUAAUUAUGUGAAGAUCUAAGAUGUUUAUUUCUUGAUCUCCUAGACAUUAUUUGAGAAGCGAUUUACCACAUUUUUUUUUAUCUACAAUCACUUUCUAAAUAGUCUAUAAGAUCAUGUGAUGUUUUUUUUAUCAAUUAUUGGGCUCCGGCCUGGGUUUUAACAGGUUUGAUGUUGUAUAAUCUUGCGGUUACCACCACCGCGAUGUAUAUGUACUGUAAAGCUGUUCAUGGCGAGCUUGCUUGGGAGAUUGCAGAGGAGUUUGCAGGAGUAUGUGAGUUUGCCUUUUAAUGAUGGUAAAGUUCCUCACAUGGUGUAUGUAUCUUACAACGGACAUUGAAAGAGUUAAUGGCCAGUGUUUGUGUAUUGAAUCUUAGUUUUAAGUGUUCGACUGAAUCGAACAGUGAGUUCGUGUUUGGUUUUGAUAUUCUAAGCUUUUGUAAUGUGUGUGAAUAAUCUAAAGUUUGUGGUUAUUGAAAGUUUUGUUGGUAAAGAUCUUAAUCAUCUUCCAUUAAAGAUUUCAUUUUCUUAUAAACAUUGUUAUUACAAGAAGAAACUUCACAAAAUAUAACCGUUUAUCAUAGUUUCUAUUUGUAGAAACAUGUGGUAAUGUAGUAAUCAUAUAACUAAACAGGUUCAUUAACCAAAAAUAAAUCGGCACAACUUUUUUUUUUUUUGGGUAAAAUGUUAAAUUAUUAUACCAAUUUUCGAAUUUGAGACAGACGUUACACAGUAAACAGGUAGCAGAAUGCGGAAACGAAACUAAACAAAGAGACCUAAGCGGAAUGAGACAAACUAGAUGAUAGCCGGACAAAGUCUAAGAACCCGAUUCGUUACGAGUCAAGCUCGAACCUUGCAAACCGAGACCGCUCGAGAUCGAGAGCCGGGCACCGCGAGCUACCGAGAGAAAGGCGCCCUCAAACCUUGAUGCUACGGUUCCUACAGCUUCCGACCUCUCCGCCGAAACCAAGACCCAGAAGAAGAAUCCGAACACAAACAAAACUCAAUUCACCCGACAGCUGAACUUCCGACGGCACGAGAGAGAACCACCAAGCGACGAUGUCGUCGUUUGUCAAGCCGUCUUGAAGAUUGCCGCCUCCAUUCCAACUCGACAUGACCGAUACACCCAUUGAACCGAAACCCCAUAUAGAAAUAGCGGACCGAAAGGCGGCUAACUCUCCGAAAGAUCAACCGCAGUAGAACGAGCCGUCCGAAAGACCAACAACUUCACAAGAACAAGAACAAGAACAGAGUCCAAACCACCACACGAGCUCAUCCAAGAGCCGCAACUACCUUAUUUGAAGAGAGGGAGCGAGGAGGACUUAGGUCACGGCUCAGACCAAACCGGAACCACCGGGAAACUGUCAUAAAGGACAGAAAAUAUAGACCCCAACUGAACAACACGCAAGCUGCCACCACCACGCGCCGACGUGACCACCGCACGUUACCACAAGAGCUCAUCGGAGACAGAGACCAUCACCAGAAGAGCCCACGCGCGCUUACAGGAGACCACCUGUAAAAGAAGAGAGACCGAGCUCCAGAUCCGCGCUAUUUGAAGCCUUACCAAACCCAUACCGCAGAGCCCCACCGCACGCCAGAGGACAGAAGCUCACCAAGCAGGGACAAGGUUCUCUGCAACCCCCACGCAACACCACUCUCACUCAACACGCAACGAAGGGAAAUAAAAAUCCAAACCGGACAGAGGCACUACAAGAGACCAGAACAGAGCUAAGGAGAAG